CAGCAGAAAUUGAUGGAGUGUUGUCCUCAAUCUCCCCCUCCUAGAUGAGAGCAGUAUUGUAUCUGGCAUGGGGGACUUUGCUGAUAACUUAAUCAUUGCUGAUGUAACGUCCGAGUCUCGAGUUCUUGAUGGAUGCAAAAGUAGUUCAGUUAAACACCUCAACCAUCUGGAAAAAUGGUAAUGGAGAUGUGGUAAUGCCCUUCAAAAUGGCGUAACAAAUCUUCUAGUUAAAAAAAAUGCAACUGCAAAGGGUCCAGUAAAGCUGGAACAAGCCACAUGGAUGUCUUCCAUUUCCUGGAUAAGAUAGUUACAAAGUCUUCCAACCAAGAAAUAACAGGCACAGUAAGUUCAUGACAAACUUGUCUGUAAAUGAUCUUCUAACAAACACCAUAGAUGACGUUUAUGUAGACAAUCUCUAUGCUGUGACUGUUAUGGACAAUGAAGCAAGUGUAAUAUUCAGUU